UGGCUCAGUUGGUAGAGCAUGGUGUUUGCACACCAUGCUGGCGUUGCAACGCCAGGGUUGUGGGUUCGAUUCCCAC
rnacentral:tRNA from 1 species